GACGAACGCUGGCGGCGUGCUUAACACAUGCAAGUCGAACGGAAAGGCCCUGCUUGCGGGGUACUCGAGUGGCGAACGGGUGAGUAACACGUGGGUGAUCUGCCCUGUACUUCGGGAUAAGCCUGGGAAACUGGGUCUAAUACCGGAUAGGAGCCAUUCUGAGUGUGAUGGUUGGAAAGUUUUUUCGGUGUAGGAUGAGCUCGCGGCCUAUCAGCUUGUUGGUGGGGUAAUGGCCUACCAAGGCGGCGACGGGUAGCCGGCCUGAGAGGGUGGACGGCCACAUUGGGACUGAGAUACGGCCCAGACUCCUACGGGAGGCAGCAGUGGGGAAUAUUGCACAAUGGGCGGAAGCCUGAUGCAGCGACGCCGCGUGGGGGAUGACGGCCUUCGGGUUGUAAACUCCUUUCGCUAGGGACGAAGCUUUUGUGACGGUACCUGGAUAAGAAGCACCGGCUAACUACGUG
rnacentral:rRNA from 1 species